rnacentral:rRNA from 1 species
GUGAUCGAUGAAUUGCUGGAUGAACUGUCAGGUUCUGCUUGGUUUACUAAAUUGGACUUGAGAGCUGGCUACCAUCAAAUUAGACUGGCACCUGGUGAAGAGUACAAAACUGCAUUAUCUACUCACAUUGGUCACUAUGAGUUUACUGUGCUGGCCUUUGGAUUGAGUGGAGGUCCUGGCACCUUCCAGAGUUCUCUGAACACUACUUUAAAACCUGUUAACAGGAAGAACACACUCUGUUUCUUUGAUGACAUCCUGAUCUUCAGUAAAUCCUACAAGGAGCACCUUGCUCAUGUUAGAGAGGUACUAGCUCUGCUGCGAGCUGAUGAGUGGAAGGUUAAACUAUCUAAGUGUGCUCAGCAGAAAAUU